CUUGCUUUCUUUGCUGGCGACCGGCGCACGGGUGAGUAACACGUAUCCAACCUGCCCUUUACUCGGGGAUAGCCUUUCGAAAGAAAGAUUAAUACCCGAUAGCAUAAUGAUUCCGCAUGGUUUCAUUAUUAAAGGAUUCCGGUAAAGGAUGGGGAUGCGUUCCAUUAGGUUGUUGGUGGGGUAACGGCCCACCAAGCCUUCGAUGGAUAGGGGUUCUGAGAGGAGGGUCCCCCACAUUGGAACUGAGACACGGUCCAA
rnacentral:rRNA from 1 species